GGUCAAGUGAAGAAGCGCAUACGGUGGAUGCCUUGGCAGUCAGAGGCGAUGAAAGACGUGGUAGCCUGCGAAAAGCUUCGGGGAGUCGGCAAACAGACUUUGAUCCGGAGAUGUCUGAAUGGGGGAACCCAGCCAUCAUAAGAUGGUUAUCUUGUACUGAAUACAUAGGUGCAAGAGGCGAACCAGGGGAACUGAAACAUCUAAGUACCCUGAGGAAAAGAAAUCAACCGAGAUUCCCUUAGUAGUGGCGAGCGAACGGGGACUAGCCCUUAAGUGGCUUUGAGAUUAGCGGAACGCUCUGGAAAGUGCGGCCAUAGUGGGUGAUAGCCCUGUACGCGAAAGUCUCUUAGUCAUGAAAUCGAGUAGGACGGAGCACGAGAAACUUUGUCUGAAUAUGGGGGGACCAUCCUCCAAGGCUAAAUACUACUGACUGACCGAUAGUGAACUAGUACCGUGAGGGAAAGGCGAAAAGAACCCCGGAGAGGGGAGUGAAAUAGAUCCUGAAACCGUAUGCGUACAAGCAGUGGGAGCCUACUUUGUUAGGUGACUGCGUACCUUUUGUAUAAUGGGUCAGCGACUUAUUUUCAGUGGCGAGCUUAACCGAAUAGGGGAGGCGUAGCGAAAGCGAGUCUUAAUAGGGCGUCUAGUCGCUGGGAAUAGACCCGAAACCGGGCGAUCUAUCCAUGGGCAGGUUGAAGGUUGGGUAACACUAACUGGAGGACCGAACCGACUACCGUUGAAAAGUUAGCGGAUGACCUGUGGAUCGGAGUGAAAGGCUAAUCAAGCUCGGAGAUAGCUGGUUCUCCUCGAAAGCUAUUUAGGUAGCGCCUCAUGUAUCACUGUAGGGGGUAGAGCACUGUUUCGGCUAGGGGGUCAUCCCGACUUACCAAACCGAUGCAAACUCCGAAUACCUACAAGUGCCGAGCAUGGGAGACACACGGCGGGUGCUAACGUCCGUCGUGAAAAGGGAAACAACCCAGACCGUCAGCUAAGGUCCCAAAGUUAUGGUUAAGUGGGAAACGAUGUGGGAAGGCUUAGACAGCUAGGAGGUUGGCUUAGAAGCAGCCACCCUUUAAAGAAAGCGUAAUAGCUCACUAGUCGAGUCGGCCUGCGCGGAAGAUGUAACGGGGCUCAAACCAUACACCGAAGCUACGGGUAUCACGUAAGUGAUGCGGUAGAGGAGCGUUCUGUAAGCCUGUGAAGGUGAGUUGAGAAGCUUGCUGGAGGUAUCAGAAGUGCGAAUGCUGACAUGAGUAACGACAAUGGGUGUGAAAAACACCCACGCCGAAAGACCAAGGUUUCCUGCGCAACGUUAAUCGACGCAGGGUUAGUCGGUCCCUAAGGCGAGGCUGAAAAGCGUAGUCGAUGGAAAACAGGUUAAUAUUCCUGUACUUCUGGUUAUUGCGAUGGAGGGACGGAGAAGGCUAGGCCAGCUUGGCGUUGGUUGUCCAAGUUUAAGGUGGUAGGCUGAGAUCUUAGGUAAAUCCGGGAUCUUAAGGCCGAGAGCUGAUGACGAGCUAACUUUUAGUUAGCGAAGUGGUUGAUGCCAUGCUUCCAAGAAAAGCUUCUAAGCUUCAGGUAACCAGGAACCGUACCCCAAACCGACACAGGUGGUUGGGUAGAGAAUACCAAGGCGCUUGAGAGAACUCGGGUGAAGGAACUAGGCAAAAUGGCACCGUAACUUCGGGAGAAGGUGCGCCGGUGAGGGUGAAGGACUUGCUCCGUAAGCUCAUGCCGGUCGAAGAUACCAGGCCGCUGCGACUGUUUAUUAAAAACACAGCACUCUGCAAACACGAAAGUGGACGUAUAGGGUGUGACGCCUGCCCGGUGCCGGAAGGUUAAUUGAUGGGGUUAGCUAACGCGAAGCUCUUGAUCGAAGCCCCGGUAAACGGCGGCCGUAACUAUAACGGUCCUAAGGUAGCGAAAUUCCUUGUCGGGUAAGUUCCGACCUGCACGAAUGGCGUAACGAUGGCGGCGCUGUCUCCACCCGAGACUCAGUGAAAUUGAAAUCGCUGUGAAGAUGCAGUGUAUCCGCGGCUAGACGGAAAGACCCCGUGAACCUUUACUAUAGCUUUGCACUGGACUUUGAAUUUGCUUGUGUAGGAUAGGUGGGAGGCUUUGAAGCGUGGACGCCAGUUCGCGUGGAGCCAUCCUUGAAAUACCACCCUGGCAACUUUGAGGUUCUAACUCAGGUCCGUUAUCCGGAUCGAGGACAGUGUAUGGUGGGUAGUUUGACUGGGGCGGUCUCCUCCUAAAGAGUAACGGAGGAGUACGAAGGUGCGCUCAGACCGGUCGGAAAUCGGUCGUAGAGUAUAAAGGCAAAAGCGCGCUUGACUGCGAGACAGACACGUCGAGCAGGUACGAAAGUAGGUCUUAGUGAUCCGGUGGUUCUGUAUGGAAGGGCCAUCGCUCAACGGAUAAAAGGUACUCCGGGGAUAACAGGCUGAUACCGCCCAAGAGUUCAUAUCGACGGCGGUGUUUGGCACCUCGAUGUCGGCUCAUCACAUCCUGGGGCUGAAGCCGGUCCCAAGGGUAUGGCUGUUCGCCAUUUAAAGUGGUACGCGAGCUGGGUUUAGAACGUCGUGAGACAGUUCGGUCCCUAUCUGCCGUGGACGUUUGAGAUUUGAGAGGGGCUGCUCCUAGUACGAGAGGACCGGAGUGGACGAACCUCUGGUGUUCCGGUUGUCACGCCAGUGGCAUUGCCGGGUAGCUAUGUUCGGAAUAGAUAACCGCUGAAAGCAUCUAAGCGGGAAACUAGCCUCAAGAUGAGAUCUCACUGGAACCUUGAGUUCCCUGAAGGGCCGUCGAAGACUACGACGUUGAUAGGUUGGGUGUGUAAGCGCUGUGAGGCGUUGAGCUAACCAAUACUAAUUGCCCGUGAGGCUUGACCAU
rnacentral:rRNA from 1 species